CUGAGUACGGCGGAACACGUGAAAUUCCGUCGGAAUCCGGGAGGACCAUCUCCCAAGGCUAAAUACUCCCUAGUGACCGAUAGUGAACCAGUACCGUGAGGGAAAGGUGAAAAGCACCCCGGAAGGGGAGUGAAACAGUUCCUGAAACCGUGUGCCUACAAGUAGUUAGAGCCCGUUAAUGGGUGAUAGCGUGCCUUUUGUAGAAUGAACCGGCGAGUUACGAUUUGUUGCAAGGUUAAGCGGAAAAAGCGGAGCCGUAGCGAAAGCGAGUCUGAAUAGGGCGCAUAAGUAACAGGUCGUAGACCCGAAACCAGGUGAUCUACCCAUGUCCAGGAUGAAGGUAAGGUAAUACUUACUGGAGGUCCGAACCCACGCACGUUGAAAAGUGCGGGGAUGAGGUGUGGGUAGCGGAGAAAUUCCAAUCGAACUUGGAGAUAGCUGGUUCUCUCCGAAAUAGCUUUAGGGCUAGCCUCGAGGUAAAGAGUCAUGGAGGUAGAGCACUGUUUGGACUAGGGGCCCUUCUCGGGUUACCGAAUUCAGAUAAACUCCGAAUGCCAUGUACUUAUACUCGGGAGUCAGACUGCGAGUGAUAAGAUCCGUAGUCGAAAGGGAAACAGCCCAGACCACCAGUUAAGGUCCCCAAAUAUAUGUUAAGUGGAAAAGGAUGUGGGGUUGCUUAGACAACCAGGAUGUUGGCUUAGAAGCAGCCACCAUUGAAAGAGUGCGUAAUAGCUCACUGGUCGAGUGACCCCGCGCCGAAAAUGUACCGGGGCUAAACAUAUUACCGAAACUGUGGAUGAACCUCUUUAGAGGUUCGUGGUAGGAGAGCGUUCUAAGGGCGGUGAAGUCAGACCGGAAGGACUGGUGGAGCGCUUAGAAGUGAGAAUGCCGGUAUGAGUAGCGAAAGAAGGGUGAGAAUCCCUUCCACCGAAUAUCUAAGGUUUCCUGAGGAAGGCUCGUCCGCUCAGGGUUAGUCGGGACCUAAGCCGAGGCCGAUAGGCGUAGGCGAUGGACAACAGGUAGAGAUUCCUGUACCAGUGCUAAUUGUUUAACCGAUGGGGUGACACAGAAGGAUAGGGAAUCGCACGAAUGGAAAUGUGCGUCCAAGCAGUGAGUGUGAGAAGUAGGCAAAUCCGCUUCUCGCGAAGCAUGAGCUGUGAUGGGGAAGGAAAUUAAGUACGGAAGUUCCUGAUUUCACGCUGUCAAGAAAAGCCUCUAGGAAGAGUAGUACUGCCCGUACCGCAAACCGACACAGGUAGAUGAGGAGAGAAUCCUAAGGUGAGCGAGAGAACUCUCGUUAAGGAACUCGGCAAAAUGACCCCGUAACUUCGGGAGAAGGGGUGCUCUAUUAGGGUGCAAGCCCGAGAGAGCCGCAGUGAAUAGGCCCAGGCGACUGUUUAGCAAAAACACAGGUCUCUGCAAAACCGUAAGGUGACGUAUAGGGGCUGACGCCUGCCCGGUGCUGGAAGGUUAAGAGGAGUGCUUAGCUUCGGCGAAGGUACGAAUUGAAGCCCCAGUAAACGGCGGCCGUAACUAUAACGGUCCUAAGGUAGCGAAAUUCCUUGUCGGGUAAGUUCCGACCCGCACGAAAGGCGCAACGAUCUGGGCACUGUCUCAACGAGAGACUCGGUGAAAUUAUAGUACCUGUGAAGAUGCAGGUUACCCGCGACAGGACGGAAAGACCCCGUGGAGCUUUACUGCAACCUGAUAUGGAAUGUUUGUACCGCUUGUACAGGAUAGGUAGGAGCCGAAGAGACGUGUGCGCUAGCAUACGAGGAGGCAAUGGUGGGAUACUACCCUGGCUGUAUGACCAUUCUAACCCGCCACGCUUAGCGCGUGGGGAGACAGUGUCAGGUGGGCAGUUUGACUGGGGCGGUCGCCUCCUAAAGAGUAACGGAGGCGCCCAAAGGUUCCCUCAGAAUGGAUGGAAAUCAUUCGCAGAGUGUAAAGGCACAAGGGAGCUUGACUGCGAGACUGACAAGUCGAGCAGGGACGAAAGUCGGGCUUAGUGAUCCGGUGGUUCCGCAUGGAAGGGCCAUCGCUCAACGGAUAAAAGCUACCCCGGGGAUAACAGGCUUAUCUCCCCCAAGAGUCCACAUCGACGGGGAGGUUUGGCACCUCGAUGUCGGCUCGUCGCAUCCUGGGGCUGUAGUCGGUCCCAAGGGUUGGGCUGUUCGCCCAUUAAAGCGGCACGCGAGCUGGGUUCAGAACGUCGUGAGACAGUUCGGUCCCUAUCCGUCGCGGGCGCAGGAAAUUUGAGAGGAGCUGUCCUUAGUACGAGAGGACCGGGAUGGACACA
rnacentral:rRNA from 1 species